AUUGAACGCUGGCGGCAGGCCUAACACAUGCAAGUCGAGCGGAUGAAGGGAGCUUGCUCCUGGAUUCAGCGGCGGACGGGUGAAUAAUGCCUAGGAAUCUGCCUGGUAGUGGGGGAUAACGUCCGGAAACGGGCGCUAAUACCGCAUACGUCCUGAGGGAGAAAGUGGGGGAUCUUCGGACCUCACGCUAUCAGAUGAGCCUAGGUCGGAUUAGCUAGUUGGUGGGGUAAAGGCCUACCAAGGCGACGAUCCGUAACUGGUCUGAGAGGAUGAUCAGUCACACUGGAACUGAGACACGGUCCAGACUCCUACGGGAGGCAGCAGUGGGGAAUAUUGGACAAUGGGCGAAAGCCUGAUCCAGCCAUGCCGCGUGUGUGAAGAAGGUCUUCGGAUUGUAAAGCACUUUAAGUUGGGAGGAAGGGCAGUAAGUUAAUACCUUGCUGUUUUGACGUUACCAACAGAAUAAGCACCGGCCAACUUCGUG
rnacentral:rRNA from 1 species